AGCUGACACACUGACGAGCUGCUGGAAGCCUUUUUUCCACACUGUUCCACUCAACUUUUUACCUCCACUAGAGGGCCACAUUAUCAAGCAGGCGCUGCACUACUUCUGCACUGUGUUCAACCAUCUGUCAAUAAUAACUGCUGCUGUGAAGAGAACCAUUCUCACUCUGAAUGCUGAACAUCAGCUACUUUCUCCUCUUCAUUUCAGCCUCGUUGUACACAUGGAACAUUGGCUGUGGAUUAUUCUUGCUGCUCUUUGCUUUGAGUGUAAAGGAGAAGACAGAGUGAUCCAGCCAACAGCAGAUGUCAUUGCUACUGAAGGAGACACAGUUACACUGGACUGUACAUUUGAGAGCAGCAACCCAAGUUCCUAUCUGUUCUGGUACAAACAGGAUGGAAACAACAGCCCCAAAUUCAUACUGAGUCGCGUUAAACGGGAUCAAGGGAACACACCAGACGAGUCCAAGGAGAGAUUUUCAUCCACACUGAAUUCCACCCUAAAAUCAGUUCCUCUGAAGAUCCAGAAGCUUCAGCUGUCUGACUCUGCUGUGUACUACUGUGCUCUGCAGCCCACAGUGACAGGAAACAGCAAAACUCUGCACAAAAACCUCUGCAGCAAACACAACACAAUACUCCACAACGUCCACUAGAGGGAGUCACACACUGCUCAACUUCAGUGGGAUGUGAUGGUCGUGUAGAUUCUUGC